AAAUGAAAUCAAAAUUUAUGAAGUAGGUUAAUGAAUUACUAACAAUUAACCAUUAAUGAAUUGAUUUAACAACAAUAUGUAUUGAAGAAUUCUGUUAAAACAAAAAGGGAAAUUAAAGCAAAAUAAAGCAAAAAAAAAAAAAAAAAAUUUCAUUCCCACUACCCUUCUGUCUCCCUUCUCUUGUUCCCUACUCUAGCUCCCUAGGGUGAGGAGCCCCCAACCAUCUUACAAACCACCUUAACCUUGUUACCUACAAUUUAUCUGUAAGUAUUAAGUGAAUUAGGGAUGGAAUUCACAACACAAAAACCACAAAAUCACAAAAGCUCCACCUCAAAUCUCUCGGCACAACCACACCACCACCACAUGUGCACUACUUUUUAGCGCGACUCUUUUCUCUCGACCACCGGGAACACCGCGCCGGCAUCCCUGCUACCCCAGCGCCGCACAAGCUCUCCUUUUUCCUUCGUUCUCUUCUUCGCUUUGUCUGCUUUACUGUUGCUCCUGCUCGUCGUUUCACCACCCUGUUAGCUGCUGUAACCUUGCCGAACCCACACUGCCACCACCGAACCUAGAGCCCAGUCUCAUUGGAGCUCCCCGAACUCCCCUAUUGCGUUUCUCCCCUGCUCUUGAGGCAAAGGUACUGAUGAUGAUAACGGGAUGGCGUAGAUAUGGGGAGUUGUUUUAGUUUUAAGCUUUCUUAAAACACUUAUGAGUAAGUUUAUAUGUUUAUAUCAAACUAAGUUAGUUGCUAAGUUUCAACUUAGUUUUUAAUUAAUGGAUAAUUAUGAUGCUUUCAAGCUAUAUUAUGAUUAACACUAGAGGAAAAAACUGGAAGAGUUGCGCUUUAGGGGCUGCGUUUUUAGAAAAUGCAGCUCUUAAGUAUGAAGGGUUGCAGUUAACCGGAAAAAGCAGCCCUUUUGAUACGAAGGGUUGCGGUUUUUAAGGUAACCACAACCCUUUAUGUGAAGAGUUGUGGUUUCUCAAUUAACCGCAACCAUUCUGAAACGAAGGGUUGCGGUUUAAUGACGCCCGUAGCCCUUCACUGAAGUGAAGGUAUGCGUUUAGCCCAAAAAAAUACAGCCCUUCACUUUAAAAGGGUUGCGGUGAAGGGCUAAACGCAACAUUUCCCUUAACUAAAAAAAUAUGUGCACGCACUAAUUUACUAAAAACUACACGAAUUUCCCUCGCUCGUUCACUUUCUCCCUCCCUCGUUAGAAAUACUGUAUAGGCUUUCAAUCAUUAGGCAAAGUGAUCCUUGACCAUGCGAGAGCGGCUAGGUGAUCUUUAAGGGAGGUAAUGUUCGAGAGAAAUUACAUAUGCCCUAGAUAAAUUGAUUUAUUAGGUAGUUGUUAUUCGUCCCUGAUUUCCCGAAUGGUAUGCAUAGUGAUCCAUAAUCCUAGCUCUUUAUUAAUUGAUGAGAUGGUAUAGUGUCAGACUUGUCUGACAAACCAUUCUCUUCGGACGAAACCACGCGCGUCUUAGUUAAAAGCAGCAAAACAAUAUCAAGACCAAAUGAAAGAAAAACAACACAAGCUGAAAGAAUAAUAAGGCUAACUGAAACAAAGUAAAAUGAAACCUGAAUGAAAAAAGAAGCACUAACUGAAAGAAAAAAAGAACCAAGUGAAAUAAACAAGCAACAAAAUGAAACAUAAACAAACCAAACACCCAAAUAAACACACCAACUAAAAACAAAUACACCAUUACCAAAAGAAAGGUAGUAAUAUGUAAAUACCAAAGAAGCUAGAAGCUAAAUACUAAACAACUGAAACACAUAAAAAAUCACAUGAAUCAUUAAACAAACCAAAUAAACAAAUUAAACAAUUCAAUAACAAUCUGAAAGAAUUUACGCACCAACUGAAAGAAUACAAGAAUCAACUGAAAGAAUACAAUAAUCAACUGAAAACAUCAAAAAAUCAAAGAAAAACAAAAUCAAAAAUACCAAAUGAAAGAUAGAAAUGUCUAAAUGAAAGAAAAACAACAUCAAAUGAAAGGAAAACAUAUGUGAAUGAUACAAAACAACAAUUAAAA